AACGAACGCUGGCGGCAGGCCUAACACAUGCAAGUCGAGCGCCCCGCAAGGGAAGCGGCGGACGGGUGAGUAACGCGUGGGAACGUACCUUUUGCUUCGGAAUAGCCUCGGGAAACUGGGAGUAAUACCGAAUGUGCCCUACGGGGGAAAGAUUUAUCGGCAAAAGAUCGGCCCGCGUUGGAUUAGGUAGUUGGUGGGGUAAUGGCCUACCAAGCCGACGAUCCAUAGCUGGUUUGAGAGGAUGAUCAGCGACACUGGGACUGAGACACGGCCCAGACUCCUACGGGAGGCAGCAGUGGGGAAUCUUAGACAAUGGGCGCAAGCCUGAUCUAGCCAUGCCGCGUGAGCGAUGAAGGCCUUAGGGUUGUAAAGCUCUUUCGUGGGGGAAGAUAAUGACUGUACCCCAAGAAGAAGCCCCGGCUAACUCCGUGCCAGCCGCCGCAGUAA
rnacentral:rRNA from 1 species